rnacentral:rRNA from 1 species
CCUACGGGAGGCAGUAGUGAGGAAUAUUGGUCAAUGGACGAGAGUCUGAACCAGCCAAGUAGCGUGAAGGAUGACUGCCCUAUGGGUUGUAAACUUCUUUUAUAUGGGAAUAAAACGUUCCACGUGUGGGAUUUUGUAUGUACCAUAUGAAUAAGGAUCGGCUAACUCCGUGCCAGCAGCCGCGGUAAUACGGAGGAUCCGAGCGUUAUCCGGAUUUAUUGGGUUUAAAGGGAGCGUAGGUGGAUUGUUAAGUCAGUAGUGAAAGUUUGCGGCUCAACCGUAAAAUUGCAGUUGAAACUGGCAGUCUUGAGUACAGUAGAGGUGGGCGGAAUUCGUGGUGUAGCGGUGAAAUGCUUAGAUAUCACGAAGAACUCCGAUUGCGAAGGCAGUUCACUGGACUGCAACUGACACUGAGGCUCGAAAGUGUGGGUAUCAAACAGGAUUAGAUACCCUGGUAGUC